UUACUUACCUGGCAGGAUGGAUGCCUUGAACUGGAAGGUGCUUUUCCCAGGGUGAGGCUUAAAUGUUACACUCUGCUUGUGCUGACCCCUGCAGUUUCCUCAAAUGUGGGAAACUUGACUGCUUAAUUUGUGGUAGAGAAUGCAGAGGGACUACAUCCG